CUUUUUUUUGCUGAGGAUGGUGAGCAAUACGUGCUGUGUAUCAGUAGUCCUAAAUAAAAGCAAAUCCAUUAAAAAAUCCAGUAACCAAUUCAGUUCUCCAAAUACAACCAAUGGAAGUAAAUAAGGCAAACCAUGUCACCCUUCAGCCCCUGCACCAGGAGGGUUCCCAGGUGAAGGCAGGCAAUGGUUGCGUCUUGAGCAAAUCCCUGAGCAUGCCAACGACUGGUCCAGUCUCACAGCAAAGCUACUGGGCACAGGCCACUAGCCUGGAGGUCAGUGUGGCAUCUCUGUGAUAGGUAGCUGGGUUGCUGGGAUAGGCAGAGACAUCCCAACAUCCUUCUGUGCUCAGCAGCAGUCUCAAAACUUUCCAGAGGAGUGGGACCUGCCAAGCAUGACUGCUCUCAUCACUGCUCAGCACCAUCUCUGCCAGCAGAAGAAAUAAUGACAUCUGUCUCAAAACUUGUCUUUUUAACACCAGUAACGUAAUUUCUUCCUCUUCCAAAAUUGAUUCAUUUGAUGCCCUAAGUUUCAGCUGGUUUUCCAUGAGCAUAUUAUUUUUUUUGAGAAUGAACUCACGUUUUCCAGUUGAGUUCUUGAUUAGUCUAAUGAAUUUUCCUCCUUUCCCAUCAUCAAACACACUUUCCCAGAUGAUGGGGAGGUUCAUCUCUAAAGGAAAACGACUCUUCUCUGACACAGAAAAAGUUUUAAACAAAGAUUUUAAAAGUGUCUGAUGAUUAUGGGGUUCUCAAUAUUUCAAGUACUAAAUUUUAAGCGUUGUAAAGUGACAGCAAAUGUUGGAUAUCUGCCCUCUGAUCCCUGAUGCUAUUUAUUUGAGGUGUCCUAAAUUGGCAUAGAAGACCAUCGUUCAUUUUUGACCCAAAGCAUCUCAGACAUUCAAAAAUCUCAUUCCCAAACUUCUAAUUCUUUCCCAGUUCAGAAGGCUGUCUGAAAGUUGCCAAGUAUGAAGUUUAAAACAAACAGAUAAGUAAAUAUUUGGACCUUUUUAAUUGCUUCAUGUUUCCUGAACUUUCAGGAUUCAUGUUUUCAAUCUAAUUAUUUCUGGCUUUUGGAGAGAGAAGGUUUCCCUCUCCCCUUUGUUUCUAACUAAGUAACUGUCUAGGCUAACCUGCCAAAAAAAAAAUAUAUAUAUAGAAAAAAUUCACAAUUGAAGGAACUGUGCUAAAUGGGAUAAACCUGCCUACAGCCCAGGCCUGAGCACAAAGCCUAGAGCCUUUACUCACCUUGACUCUCUACAUCCAAGCUAACAUCAGCUAGUUACUGUACAGGCAUGGUGGCAGAUCUUCUGUACCUGCCUAACACAAAUCUCCUGCUUCUUGUCUUUCUGCACAGCAUCUCCUGUGGUCACAGCUGAGACCUUGUGGUGCCCAGCUGAUCAUUUUUGCCCAGACAUUCUGCAGGACUCCAUCACCCAUCUCGGCAUUCCACAAUAAAGGGACUGGAGGAGGUAACUUCAAUGUUUCACGUGGGAGGCAUUGCUCUGGUGUUUUGUAGCAAUCCUGUAGACCCAAGCCCAGAAGCCCUGCAACACAAGUUCUGCUUGCUGCCAACAGGGAUAAUGCAAGGAACUUCCAUGAAACCUCUCCAGAUUCUGAUUUAUCUACUGAGUGGGGGAUGGAUCAUUAGUGGAGAACAAGUGCCACCAGUGGUGACCAAAAGCUAUGGUCACCUAACCACCCCCUGAAGUGCCUGAUGAAGUACCCAGGAGUGCACAUCUGUUGUGUGAAAACCCUGAUGGUGGGCAGCACUUGGAGCUGUCAUCAGCAACUGGUCCUUUAGUACUUCUUCAAGCAAGUGCUGCAAACACAGGGAGGACAGGACACCCUUUCCCUGCCCCUGCUGUAAAAGUGAUGCACAUAAAUGGGUGAGCUCGAUUGUCCCAUAUUUCAGGCCAACAUCUUUCACAAGCAUUUCAGGAACAGCUUCAAAGGCAUGCAGCUCGAACUAAUGAGAAGUGUACAGGAGGUCAGAAUUACUGUCUAGUCUUGGAAAAAUCAGAAUAUAUAUUCUUUUUUCUUUUUCUGUUUUUAUCAGGCAUUUUUCUUUAAAAUAGAUAAGCAACUUCUUUUAUAAGAAACCUGGAAAUGAUUGCUUAAAAUUAGUAAGUUACAAUUCCAAUGAAUGGCCUAUCUGGAGCAGCUGGGUUUAAACACUCAAGGGAGAAGCUGGGGAAAGGAAAGGGAAAAAAUGGGAGUACAUGAUUGUUUCUGUGCUGAUUCACAGAUCUGUUUGCCAUCAAAUCUGUCAUUGUGGUGGUGACAUGGACUUGUUACAGCUAAAAGCAAAGAAUGCAGAAAAUAAGAGCAUUUGACCCUAAAGCCCAAAAUACUCAAAGGUUUAGUGUUUUGAGUAAGGCAAUGAUCCAAAGCCUAUAAAAGCAGAAGAAAAAUAGCCUUUAGCUUCAGUGGGCAUUGCAUCAGGCCUUCAGAUGACUGGCAAUCAGCAGACUUCAUGCUGUGUAAUUCUUUAUGAAAGAAGCGUUAGUUCUCCAACACACAGUCAGCUGAGGAGGAAUAAGACAUGCUGUGUCUUUGCAACUUACCCUUCUGGUCAGCAGACAUCCCCAUCACUGAGGGUGAUGUAGAUAUUCUUGCACAACUGGUGAAAAGGCAUCCAGCUGUGCUUUGCAACUGCUGCUUCCCGCUAAGCCAUCACUAGAGAGAGAAUUAGCAGAGACUCCAUUGUCACAUACCCUAGAUCUGAACCCUGGGUUAUAUUUAAACGAGCAUAGGAAAGAGUCUGAAGACUCUAUGACCCUGGUGAAUUGGGGGAUUGCUUUCUCUAAACUGGAAGGCAAAUGUCGGAAGAUCAGAUUACAAGUGACUACACGAAUGUUUUCAUGGUGGGUCAGCUGGAGUUCAGGCUCUGUAAAUUCCAAGGAGGUGGUUCCAGAGCAGUUUAAGCACUUCAGCAAUUCCUAGCACCGGUGGUCUCAGCUUGGGAAGGAUUUCAUAACAUGUCUGAAAGCCAAAGGCUUCUUUGCUAAUUUAAUAAAGAGUGAACCAGUGGGUAAGUCCCUAGAAAAUAGACUAAAUCAGCCUAAUUUGUUAUAUAAUCCCUUUUUAAUGUGGAGAAUUAAGGUGACGGCAAGAUGACUACGUGUUUAAUUCUCCAAAUAAUUACUGGUGAGUAUUGACAUUAAAGAUGGGAGAGAGUGAGUGAAUUUCUGUUUGUAGUUUUCAGCACGUGCCAAACUCUUACUUCAUACCAGUGAGAAAAGGCUGGAAGUUGUGUGUUCCAUAUGCAUGAAGUAACAGUUGGCACAAAUCACCAAGGGGAGAAAAUUAAAAGCCACUAAAGCCCAGCAACCCAAACUGUCACUUGCUGACAAUUUUUUGACUCUCUCUAUGAAAAAAAAAAACAAACCAAAAAACCAAUACAUGAAGGCCUCAUGCAGGGUAUUCCACCUGAGUAAACCCUAGUGUCUGGUCCUCCUCAAGGCAAAUAAUGUGCUGAGAAGGCAGCAAUAGUCUCAGUUUUCCAACCUCCUCCUCUAGUCCCUUGGGAAGUGCAGUCACAGACAGCCCCAGAGUGGGGUGAGAGUGGAGCAGCGGAGGAUGACACUGCUUGGCUCAAGUUGGUUCUUUCUUCUCCUGACACUCUUGGCCAUGAAAAACCUGUUCUUCCCCACUGCUAGGAAUGGAGGUGCUUCGUGGCUAACAGUGUCUGUCCUGCUUGGUGCAACUCGCCGUAUGGAUCAGGAUAAUGGAGUUUACAUCCUUGCCUUGCCAGCACUGCUGGAUUCACCUCAAAACAGCAGGAGAUAGCUGUAUCUGCACAACCUGCCUCUAACUCAUGUGUCCUCACACAGGCCUGGGAUGACUUUGGCAUUUGGGCCAUGGCUGCCAGGGCCCUGGAGGUACCAAGGGGCCCUACUGUUGUGUCCAGUCCCUGCUCAACCUUCCCAAGGACCAGUAGCCCAUGUCAGCCCCCUGAUCUCAUCAGCCUCUGCCCCAGUGAUGUCACAGCAGGGCCAGGCUCCAUCUGCCCACAGAUCUGCCCUGGCCAUGGGCCCCACAGAGCCAGACCCACAUCCCAUCCUGUCAGCACAUCCCAUGUGGUGUCAUGGCCAUGGGUUACACGAGUUACCUCAUUUUUUGUUCAAAAUUAUGUCCUGUGCUUGAAGGAUUUGAUACAAUCUAAGUCUUCCCUGUCACUUCUACCAUGAUGAUUUUCUGUGUGGUUCACUGUAGUCUUCCUACAACUGACAGCUUAUUAUCUCACCUUAUGAAAAUCAUGUAUGACUUCUGGGAGUCAUCUAUCAAAAGGAGAGAACACACAACAUACUGAGAAGCUGGUACCUUCUCUCUAAUUUUCCAGGUUGAUGGCUGUUCAAUGAACCUAUUAACUGCCUGAAGUGACUUGCAUCUUUACAGCUGUCCAGUUGUCAUAUUUCUGACCAGCAAUCCCUGUCAUAUAGGAUCGGGACCAGAUUUUCAGAUCUCCAUGCUGGUCUGAGCACCAGGCUGAUGUUGCUAGAUCCUGGAGAUAUUUUUAUUAAGUGAGCUUUACAAGGACCUAGAAAGAACCUCUACCUGUCACAAGAAUCUGAGAAGGCUUAUGUAAGGUCCCUAGAGCAGUUUUUCCUUAACAUUAUCCAACCCGGAAAAUUUCCGGAUUUCAGUAAAAACUGUGUAUGCUAUGUUUUCCCAGGCUGGGCAUCAAUGUGAAUUGUAGGAGCUAUUGGCUAGGAAGUAUCUAGAAGCAGACUUUACAACCACACAGAAUGCUUUCAUUUAACUACCCGUGCUACUGGACCUUCACAUGAUUUAGAGCUCUGACAAACCUGAAUUCCCAUUAAACUAGAUAGCUUGGAUCCAAUUAGUGGCAUUAUCUCAGGAAGACAGUGUUCUGGAUGGCCUGCCAACAAUAGCUGGCCAUUGACUGCUCUGCUUUGCUGGGGGGUUUGCAGGUGUGCUGUGUUCUGUUAUGGCAGUGCCAUGGUGUUACCAGUACCUUGGAUGGCUCAUUUAAUGCUAGUUCAAUAUGUCAGUGCCAUGCUGCAGUUUUAAUAAGGUAGAGGCACAUCUGCAGUCGGAAAUUUUCAUCAUUCUGCACUACCAACAUGGUGUAAUACACUGUGCAGAUCCUUAAGCCAAGACUUUAGGAAAUUAAUCUGGAUCCUAUAAACAUUUUAAUGGGAGGAAGCAAAAAUACUUGCAUGACCUGACAGAUCUUUUUGGCUUAUAGGUAGGACUUCAUAUGGAGGAAGUGGUCUUUUCCCUUGGUGACAAUAAAAGUACUUUAUAUUUUUGCUGCAAUGGAAAGAUCAUGCAUUAUAUAGAUCCCACUGAACAGUAUUCAGUAAAAUGCAGAUGUCCUUAAGUUUUCAUUAUAAACUUUAUUUUAUUCCUGUUCCUCACAUUGCCAAAAUCAGCCCUAUUCACCUACAGCUUCACAGGCAUAAUCUUAUUCUGGGACCAAUUUUUUGGAAGAGCUGAAGGAAAUUGGUCAAGGUGUUUAAGAGAGAUGAUGGCUAAAAAAAAUGAGAUCAUCUGCUUGGAGAGUUUCCUAAAGACUUUUUAGUUUGUCAUAUCCUCAAAAUUCAUUUUCCUAGAGAUUGAAAAAAUAUUUCAGAUCUGUUGGUCUUGGCUAGAAAUGGUGCCUUUGAACAGUUUUAGGCUGUCUGGUGACAGAAUUAUUUGGUUAUUGAAAGUGGUUCCUGCCUCAGUGUGUACGUAUAUGUGUUAUGUGCUCUUUGGAGAUCUUAACUCAACUAGUCAGUGCCAAUGUGCUCAUAAAUUUAUGGUGUCAUAUGUCAGGUUUCUAAACAACUCUGCAUGCAUUCUAAACAGACAUGUUUCUUCUCUGAGACUCAUCCUAUCUGCAGGUACUGCUGUCUAAAAUCCUCACUUAUGUGUUUCCUGACUCGCACUGCAAUCCAUGCUGAAGCUGACAGCGUGGCUUUACAGUCAUGCUGCACAGUCCCUGGAGACCUCUCCCAAAGGUUACAGCAUUCAAAGCUCAUUCUACUCAUCUCAGUGUUUUUUCGUGUCAAAAAAUUCACACCUGCCCUGAUUUGUGCCAAUAUGUCAGUCUGUGAUGGCUGUGAGCCACACAUGAUGAGACUUAAGUCAAUAUUAUUUUUCAGCAUAUGUGUUUUGUGGUUUAUUUCUGGUUUUAUGACAAAGUAAGUUCUGAGGCACAGUGUUCUAUUUUUAAAGAGGAUUUAUUUCAAAAUAUGUGCUUAGAACUUUCUCAUAAUUGCAUCAUUUUAAAGAUGGUUCUUGAAGUGUGACCAAAACCAGAAGCAAACAUUCAUUAGACAAUUUUCAGCAUCUCUCACUCUAAAAAGAACAUGAAAUCUGGAAACAGUAUAGUUGUGCUAUGCCACUGCACUAAUGUGCUCUCCUUGGAUCACUCACCCACUGCAUCACCCCCUUAGUUUGUACUGAAGGUUAUAGCAGAGCAACGUAAACAGUCAGGUCUGCCCAGCACGUACCAUUGACAAUGGGACAUGGGACAUGUUCCGUGAGACCUUGGCUUUAGUUAAUAAUGUUCCCAGACUUUAACAUUUAAGCCUUGAUCUUUCUGAUCUCCUGACUUAGUUGGUUUUGUUGUCGCUGCAGUAAAGCCCCUGACCUACAAAUUGCUGGAACCGUGUGUGUAAUUAGAAGUAUGAUACCAUUCUUUCUCUAUCUAUUAUUCCAUCAGCAUCUGUUAUUGACCACUGUUUGGAGCAAGCUCUUGGGCUAGAUGGACCUUGGUUUUUACUCAGUAUUAAUGUUCUUACACUAUAUUCUCAGUUAAAUAGUUGACUACUUGCUGAAAACAGGGCUAGGAUUUUUCUUUGUCAUUUUAAAGAUUUAACAGUCGUUUUAGUGUUGGUUUUUUGGUGUGUUUUUUGGGGGGUUUGUUGUGUUUGUGGGUUUUUUUAAAGAAGAUUUGGUAUUUCUGUGCUCUGGAUCUAGGACCUGAAUCACAAGUGAAGCAUUAUGUUGAAGUCAGGGAUAGGCUUUUCUCUCCCAUUCUGGUUCAAAGUGUUCACUUCUGGCUCUUGGCAACCCCAUUUUGAAUGUGCUCAGUAGGAACUAUGAGGGGUUUUGCACUUAGGUGCUGUUGACAGUGAUCAUACCCUGACAGGACUGAGCAGGACGCUGCUGGUUGCAGACUGUUCUGCCAUGCAGCACAGGAAUUGACUGCAGCAGGACUCUCCCAGUGGCCAUUGUCUCCUGGGAAUGGAGAACUGCCUGAUGGGAAGGCAGAAAUGACAAACAAGUUUUCAGGGGCUUUCAAGAGGGAAAAUGGGCUAUGAUGGUAAGAAGGUGAGAUGUAAAACUGACAUCUAGAUGAAUUAGGGGGGAGCUGGAAUAUGGCUGGCUUCAUAAUAGUCUACAGAUAUGAUAAAGAAAAGAGAAAGGCCUCACAACAGGGAGAGAGUAGGAUGGACUGUGUGAUUCUGGAGAAGACUUCUCUGAAACCUGGAGCUGAGCACAGGAUUCCUGAGUUAUUGACAGUUAUUGACUCACUGAGAGACAGGCUUUCACUAGAGGGAAUCAUUAACUCCACCCUUCUAUCCCGAGACCAAACUGCAAUCAUGUCAUCCCAAGCUAUCAUUGAUAUUGAAGUUUUGUCCAAUGACUAAUCUAAAUCUCCCAAGCUGUUUGGUUUAUGCUUCUUCAUGUUUUAUUCUUCCUGAUCUUUCCACCAAGGACAUAUUAGUUCCUUUGCAACAGCUUUUUAGUUGAAGAUUAUUAACCUUCCUUCUUCUUGGUUGUUACUUCUUCAGAAAAAAAACUCACAUUUCUCACAGUCUUCCCUCAUGUUUUCUGGACCUCUGUCAAUUUUUGCCCAUCUUCUUUGCCAAUUCUUUCAUCUCUUUCUUGAAGUACAGUGCACUAAACAGGUCGCAGUCUUCCAGGUGAAUCUUUGACUGUGGGGAUCGGCCCACAUAGACUCUUUCAGUAGUCUUUAAGACCCUUUAGACAUCCCAAUGGCUUUGCCAUUCGUGCUUGUUCCACCAUAGUACCCUAUCUUUUCUCUUGUGAAGUGGUACUUAAACAGUUUUGCAAGUACAGAUGAGUAUUUCUGUGUAAGCACUUUGUACUACUGUAUUCCAUCCAUUUUGAUGACUUCUCUAAAUAUAUCAAGAUCAUCUUAAAUUCUAAUUUUUUUAUCAUCUGUAACAUCUGCAGUCCUUCCUUGCUCCGUCUGCAAGACUCAUACUUCAUAUUCCAUCUUCUAUGCCUUCAUUGAAAACAUUAAAUGAAACUUGAUCUGAGACCAAGGCCCACAGAAUUCCUUGCAAAACACACAUAUUUUGAUAGGUUUUGAUGGAAUUACCCUGUGUAUACAAUUAUCCAACUAGACUUGACCUCCUGCCCCUUCCCACAGCAGUUUCAUUUAGAUCACAGUUCACUAGCCUGCUCAUAAGGAUAUUAUAGGAAGUACUGCUAAAGGCCUUGCAAAAUUAAAUAAAAAAAAAUAAAUUCAAGAUAUGUGACAUCUGCAGCUAGUACUUUAAUGUCCAUUUAAGACUCUUAGAGUGAAGUUGCUGAGGCUCAGACUCAGGAGGACAUCUAACAUAACUGGUUAUUCUCUAAGCAAGUUUUGCAUAUUUUAGGCUGAAAUUUUACCAUCUAAAUAAUUGCACUGUCUGGUUGCUGUUGACCUUUUUAGUAAAGAUUGAUGAAAAAGGGAGAAAAAAAGGGCAUUAAACUCUACCACUUCCUUAACAUUCUCUGCUGAUAGCACACCCUCAUCAUUGAGUACUGGUCCAAACUUCCCUUUGUUUUUCUCUCAACACCUUACCUGUUAAAUUUCUUUUAUUUUUGGUAAGUUUUGCUAGUGGCAUCUAGUGCAUUUUGUCUUUACUAACUCUAUAAACUCCCCCCACACACACCCUCCCAUGAAUGGAGUAUUGUGCUGGGUUCUCAACCAGCUGUCCUAGUUUCUGCUUUACAGAUAUCUCUCUCUCUUCUGCUGGAGGUCAAUUAAAAGGUUGUGAAUUAGCUGACUUCUGCAGAAUUUCCUUACAUUCCCUUGAAAUGCCAUAGGUUGCACUUGGUUUCUUAUUAACAUUUCUUGAAUGAACUGACAACUCUUCAUAAUCUGUUUUUCCCUUAGAUUUGUCUCUUAUGAGAUCUUCCCUACCAAUUCUCUGAGUUUAUUGACAUCUGCCUUCUUGAAAUCUAGUGCUGUCAGUCACUCAGAUCAAGUGGCAGAAGAUGACACUAUGUUUGCUGCAGUGCUGAUUCCUUGUAAAAUGUCAUAUCUGGCAGCAGACUUUGAGUCAUAUGUUACACUGCCCUCUACCUACAUGCAAAACUGCUGUUCAGCAGAGGGAGGUUGUGACAAUUACAGUUGUACUGGCACUUAAGAUUUAGGCUGCUGUUCAGAAUUUAUCAUAGAAAAAAUGUAACUUAGAUAAACUUUCUGUAAGGCAUUAAUAACUGCCCUUAAAAUGAAUCUCCAUUAAUGUGGAUAGAGGAACUGCACUAAUGAAGUGUUUAGAACACAAAUUCCUUGUGAUAAUAAAUAAUCCAGACUAAGGUAUGCAAUGAUCCUUGCCCUUCUUUGUUUACUAAAAACUUCAAAUGCUAUGCAGCUAUUUCAUGGUGCAAUGGACAGACAGUGAGACUGUAAUGGGGGAGAGGAAGUAACAAGCAAUAAACAUCACCUUAAGCAAAAAAGCUGAUCAGACCAUACUGGACCUGUGCCUUGUAAGAACAGUGACAGAAGCUCUUACUGACAUCUAAUACAAAAGCAGUAAGACUUCAGGUCCUCCCGAAACCCUCCAAAACUCUUUAAUAUUGGUUGAGACCACCGUAGAUACCUCAUGGCCCCUCUCAUAGGUCAACUAGAAAUGGUCAAGAAGUCAGGCCAAGCCUAGUACUUAUAUUGGAAAGCUUCCUAUUACACAAUUAUUUUAAUGACAAUAUCACUAUGGGGGUUUCUUUACUAUCACUUCAAGUUGAUUUGGAUUCCUUUAACAAUGAAAAUUGAUUACCAGUAACGAGUCCUAGCUGUAGUCAAUUUUAUGACAGAUAUAAACUAAUAAAAAUGUGGGCAUCAUACUAUCAAUAUGGUGUUGGAAGACAGAGGAGCAAGCCUUUCCUGUAAUCAGAAUACUGGUGAUGGUUUAGAGAAAUCCAGUAGUUGUUGAACCACUCUAUUACAUGCCACAGGGACCUGAUCUGUGGUGUCCAUACGCUAUCUAGUGGCUCUGUCGAUUAUGACAUUAUCCCUGAAUUACUCUUCUUCUGCUUGUGAAUUGUAGUAUUAAAAAUUAUGUUAGAUGAAAUCAGGGUUCCUAAGUCUGUAACCAUUCCCUAAUGAAUCUAAGACAUUUUGAGGUCAUAAGUGAAUAAUGAAAAAACCCAAAAAGGUAGUAAAGCCUGUGUGAAUAUGCAGACAAAACUCUUGAUGGGGAGUUCUAGGCAGUCAUUCCUGUCACUAACAGCAUUCUGAUGGGCGCUGGUCAAGCAGUAAAGAUCUUUCUCUGUCGUAUACAGACUAUGUUCUAGAUUGACUACUAAAAAAACCCACUCAGUUUAGGAGUGCUUCAAAUGGUUAAGUAUUUUCUUUAGUUGCUAAUUAUACAGUAUUUUGUAAACUGAAAGCAGAUAAUCUAAAUACUUUAAACUGUGCACAUGGUAUACAGUAGUGCAAGGCCAGAUGUGUUCUCCUCUAAUGGGGAAAGCUAAUCUCCAUCCCUUGAGAUCACAGACUGGGAAGAUGUGAAGACCAUGCACAACAGCAGUCUUCUGUUUCUGCUGGGGUGUGACUGACCUUCAGUAAAAAAUACACCCCUUCUGCUUUGUUAUUUUUCUGUAAAAUCGAGGUAGUACUGCUAUAUGGAAGCCAUAACAGCUUUAUAGUUAAUGAGUACUUCUGUUGUAAAGGCUGUAUUUUCUAUUAUUUAUAUAUGUAUAUAGGAAAUAGUGUAUAUAUAUAUGACGUGUAUUAGCACAUUUAGGGGUUUCACGAGUUACAAUUAGCACAAAACUUAUAUUUUAGAAAAAAAGUCUGAUUCAUCAUCACCCUCAGCAAUUUUGUGCUUUUCUACUUAAUAACUGAGAAAGCUCCCUAGUCAACUGUUACACCAUUUAAGUGCACUUAAUUACAUAUGUGUAUUUGUUUUAGGAGGCUGAGUAAAGACAUGAUGAUGCAAGUUUCAUGCUGGGUAACAUUUCUUGAACUGUUCUUUCUAGAAAAGCAGAAAUUUUUUUUUGAUCUUUUUUCACACAUCAUGAAAUCAAAGGUACUAAUUUUGUUCUCAUGUUUCAUUAAACUGUUUUUCUAUUCAUACAUCAUUCUGAACCCUUAAAACCAAGUUUCAAAUAGUUGGCAGAAAAUGUUCACAUUACCUGCGUUUAUCACAAUAAUUUCAAAUAUAAAGCUUUUAUGGUGCAUGUCUUUUUCCACAUACAACAGCAGUUGAUAAAUAUGUAUAUAAAUACAACAUAUGUGUAUAUAAAUGUGCCUUACAGGCUUCAAAGAAAAGCACGAUUUUUAAGAGCCGUGCAUAAAAGUCAGUUCCUUGAUCAUCCCAAAGUAACCCAAAAUUCAGAGCCUUAUGCAUUGUGCUAAUUUUGACUGGGAUAGAGUUCAUUUUCUUCACAGGAGCUAGUAUGGGUCCGUGGCUUGGAUUUGUGCUGAAGACAGUGUUGAUAACACAGGGAUUUUUCAUUACUGCUGAGCAAAGUUUGUGCAGAGUCAAGGUCUUUUCUGCCUUCCACCCCACUAGGGAGGAGGCUGCGGGUUCACAGAAAGCUGGGACAGCACACAACCAGGACAGCUGACUCCAACUGACCAAAGGAAUAAUCUGUAUAUGCUCAGCAUAUAAAGCUGAGGGGGAACAAGGAAGAGGGGGGGGAGUGAUGGCAUUUGUCUUCCCAAGUAACCAUGAUGGAGCCCUGCUCUCCAGACAUCCACUGCCCAUGGAAAGUUGUGAAGGACUUAUUCCUUAUUUUGAUUUGCCUGCAUGCAUGGAUUUUGCUUUAUCUAUGAAACUGUCUUUAUCUCAACCCAUGGGUUUUCUCACUUUUACCCUUCUGAUUCUCUCCCCCCCCAACCAGGGAAGAGUGAGCAAGGGGCUGUGCAUUCCCUAGAUGCCAGCUGGGGUUAAACUGCAGUAACAUAAAGGAAUUGGCAGGUCUACAGGCAACCUGCUUUAAGUGCUCAGAGCUGAAGAGCUUAACCUCUUCUGCCCUCCUACUCACUAGCAUGUACUACACUUUUUUCUGAUUGAACAUUCAGUCCAGAUUAAUCACUCUCAGAAGAGAUAUUUAAAAAAACCCAGCUGUAACAGAAGGAAUUUUCUGUUAAGGUGACUGUUAGUAACAGAGAUGGGCUUAGAAACACAUCAGCAAAUUAGGAUACACAAGGCUAGAAGUCCUAGUGAGAAAUGUACCUAUCUCCAGUGUGCACAACCCCAACUCAAUUUUACUGCUUGUACAACCAGCACAACCUUGGCCACAAAGAUUUCAAAACAAAUAAUUACUACAAGAAAAAAAAAAAUCUGACACACAGGAUUCAUUGCAUAAACAUUUAAACAGAGGAAAUAAUUUCUUUUACAAACAUGUUUCUCUUGUAUAAGAAUAAUUUUGUAUAGAAAAUAGCUCUUUAUACAUUUUACAGAAAUAGGCUAACAUUUAGAUUCUUUAUUAAUGAAUAAUGAUUGAAUGCAAUUUAAGAUUUCAGUUAUGUUUCAGAGUCACCAAACAUCAAUAACACAGCAAUACAUCACUGCUCUAAUAUCCCUAAACUGCUUGACUUACCAAAUAGAGUCAAGGCAGUAAAAACGUUCCUAGAGCCAUGAUAAUUUGCAAACACUCAAGUAUCUUGAAACUGUUAAGUUAUGAAAUACCUGCUGAAAGUAAUACCAUAAUUUAAAUGCCAAGGAAUAUGGACUUAAACCUUAACAAGGCAGCGUUACUUGCUUACUUAGAUUAUUCUGCUGGCUAAUACUGUAAAACCCAAAUUGAACAAAAGCUUUAGUAUUCAACUGGUUUACUGUUAAUGUGACCUUCAAAACACCCCUGAAGGGUGGGAUACAACAUAUAAAUAUAAUAAAAAUACUUUCAUUUUCUUAAGAAAACAUGGAAGGUUGAUGAAAAAAAAAAUCAGUAAAUUAAGAUACAAAAAGUAAAUCUGUGGAGGACAAGACAUUGAAAAACACGUGUAUAUAUAUUUAUAUGUAAGGGUAUGCUAGGAAGUACAUAUAUUUAAAAAUACAUAAUUUCUUCAAAGAUUGUGUUUAAAUUCAUAUGGUAUCAUUUGGAACUCAAACGUAACACAGACUCAAAUGCUUUUCCCCUACAACUGCUGUUUCAAGCACCUGUACUUAUCUGCAAAUUUCCUUGUAAAUUAGAAGGAAGGUAAGAACAUUUAUCCUUGGAAUACAACUAUAUGCAGUACUCAUUUCUUGCUCUCUGGAUAUUUUAUAAUUUUAAAUUGAAGAUGAUGUAAGCAAAUAAGUACUAUAUAAC